rnacentral:rRNA from 1 species
GUAGGGUAAAGGCCUACCAAGGCGACGAUCAGUAGCCGGCCUGAGAGGGUGGACGGCCACACUGGGACUGAGACACGGCCCAGACUCCUACGGGAGGCAGCAGUGGGGAAUAUUGGACAAUGGGCGCAAGCCUGAUCCAGCAAUGCCGCGUGUGUGAAGAAGGCCUUCGGGUUGUAAAGCACUUUUGUUAGGGAGGAAGGUUCGAUGGUUAAUACCCAUCGGAAUUGACGUUACCUAAAGAAUCAGCACCGGCUAACUCUGUGCCAGCAGCCGCGGUAAUACAGAGGGUGCAAGCGUUAAUCGGAAUUACUGGGCGUAAAGGGUCUGUAGGCGGAUAAUUAAGUCGGAUGUGAAAUCCCCGGGCUCAACCUGGGAACUGCAUUCGAUACUGGUUGUCUAGAGUAUGCAAGAGGAUGGGGGAAUUCUUGGUGUA